rnacentral:miRNA from 1 species
CACUGGGUUGGCCAAAAAGUUCGUUCGGGUGUUUCCAGCCGAUCUCAUGCAAAAACCUGAAUGACCUUUUGGCCAACCAA